rnacentral:lncRNA from 1 species
GGGAGUUGGUGGGGUUUUUUUGGUUGUGGUUUGAUUUAUUUGUAUUUUUAUCCUUCCAGCUGAGAGCAUUGAUUUGAAGCUGUAUCCUGAAAUGCUGAGACCAUUGGUGAGCUGUAGGAGGCCUUCAGCAAUGACCAGCUUUACUCCAGAAGGAAAAGGUUUUGUGCCUGGAGCUGCACUUCCCACCAUUGCAAGUCCUGCCCAGCUUGCACAGAACAGCUUCAGAAAUGACAAAGGCUGCAAGGUGCUCACACACUGUGAUGGCCAGCUGGACAGGAUUGAAAAGGACAGUGACAAGUUAUGCAAGCAAGCAGUGGAGCCACAGGCAGCGGGCAGUGCUGGGGACAACCUACUCUCCCUUCUGGAGCUCCAACUGGAUCACUGGCACCAGGUUUUAAAGGUCUGGAAUGGAAACAGAAAAUGGCUUUGACCCUAUUCCUCCUGGAUUGUCUGUCACCAUUCAGAGUCUGUCCUGCAGGUAUGAGUAUCUCUUUCACAGAUUGGGUGAAAAGAGUGAAGGAAAAGGGUGUUUUGUAUGUUCAACUCAUAUCAGCAUUGAAGUACUUGUGGCGGCUCUCCCAUCAAGGCAUGCUAAGUAGGGACACCUCACAAGGCAAUGUAAGGGCUGGCUAUAUUUUAUGACCUGAAUGCAAAACCUGUAUUAGUUUCAACCUGCUCCUAGUAACAUGUGUCUAAUGCUAAAUUAUCUCUUUCAUGUGGUUUUUGUAUUACACAUUAACCUCAGAUUGCUUUCAUGUGUUCAACUUUCACGAGUUCAAGAGUUUUGCAGGAAGAGCAAUGAAAUGUGUUUUUGUCAAUCUCUUUAGUUUUGGGGCCAAGCUGGGUUUCCAGUGGGCAAUUGGAACAGCACUGACUGCCUGGAGGAGCAGGAGUCAGCAACCUGUGUGGUGCAGGCAUGUGUGAGUGCCUGUGCCUGGAAGUGACUACAGAGGAUCCCAUUUGGGAAGAACUGUAACGGUGCAGGGCAAAGGCUGGAACAACCCAGGAACAAGCAGACUGGGAUAGGUAACCCUACAGAGUCCUUAUUUUCCUAAGCAUACGUGUUUCUAGAGAGGUAGGCAUGAAUGUAUAAAUGAUAGAACUCUCAAUGGUUUGUGCUGAGCAAUGCUGUGCCACAGCAGGGGGCUGGACUGACAGCUUUAGAUCUGCUGGACUCACUUCUUGUUGGCCUGUCUAAGCCUGAAUCUGAUUUUUAAACUAGAGCUAGCCCCAAACCUCCCCAGUCACAGCACCUGCUUUGCUCCUCCAUGCCACAAAUCCUCCGUGGAGGAAGGGGGACAGCUCCUUCUGUGUCUUUCUGAGUGGGAUGAUCUCAGCAUGAGUCACUUGCAGCAGGAUGUGGACCCUGUUUCUUUGGAAGCAGCUGCACAGCUCAGCACGUCCCUGACACAGCUUCUGGAACAAGGCAGGGCACCUUCCAAACCAAAGCAUUCAUGGGCAAGGCUUGAGCAUGCUCUAAUGUUGUGAAUGGCUCUCACCCGAGAGCAGGAUGUAACGACCAGAAAAGGGUGGGGAUAUUGUAGAUCCUUUUCCCUCAUUCUUAGUGUCCAGUUAGUACCCUAAAACAGUUAACUUGCGAGCCUGCAGCAAAAACCACAGGAGCAGUGAGCUCUCUAUUACA